GAUGAACGCUAGCUACAGGCUUAACACAUGCAAGUCGAGGGGAAACGACAUCGAAAGCUUGCUUUUGAUGGGCGUCGACCGGCGCACGGGUGAGUAACGCGUAUCCAACCUGCCCAUCACUUGGGGAUAACCUUGCGAAAGUAAGACUAAUACCCAAUGAUAUCUCUAGAAGACAUCUGAAAGAGAUUACAGAUUUAUCGGUGAUGGAUGGGGAUGCGUCUGAUUAGCUUGUUGGCGGGGUAACGGCCCACCAAGGCAACGAUCAGUAGGGGUUCUGAGAGGAAGGUCCCCCACAUUGGAACUGAGACACGGUCCAAACUCCUACGGGAGGCAGCAGUGAGGAAUAUUGGUCAAUGGGCGAGAGCCUGAACCAGCCAAGUAGCGUGCAGGAAGACGGCCCUAUGGGUUGUAAACUGCUUUUAUAAGGGAAGAAAGUGAGAGUCGUGACUCUUUUUGUAUGUACCUUAUGAAUAAGGACCGGCUAAUUCCGUG
rnacentral:rRNA from 1 species